GGCGUGCCUAACACACGCAAGUCGAGCGGACUGUAAAGAGGGGUAACUCUCUUUGCAGUUAGGGGCGCACGGGUGAGUAACACGUGGGGAACCUACCCUUAGGAGAGGGAUAACCCGAGGAAACUUGGGCUAAUACCUCAUAAGACCACAGGCUGAAAUGCUCGUGGUAAAAGGAGCAAUCCACCUAAGGAUGGGCCCGCGGCCUAUCAGGUAGUUGGUAGGGUAAUGGCCUACCAAGCCUAUGACGGGUAGCCGAGCUGAGAGGCUGGCCGGCCACAUUGGGACUGAAACACGGCCCACACUCCUACGGGAGGCAGCAGUGGGGAAUAUUGGGCAAUGGGCGAAAGCCUGACCCAGCGACGCCGCGUGGGGAAAGAAGGCCUUCGGGUUGUAAACCCCUUUUGCAGGGGACGACACAGGACGGUACCCUGCAAAUAAGCCACGGCUAACUCUGUGCCAGCAGCCGCGGUAAGACAGAGGUGGCAAGCGUUGCUC
rnacentral:rRNA from 1 species